rnacentral:rRNA from 1 species
UGCCGCCCGCCCAAGGAUUUGACGAACGGACGGGACUCGCUCCUCGAGUAGCGGCGGACGGGUGAGUAACACGUGGGUAACCUACCUAUAAGACUGGAAUAACUUCGGGAAACCGGAGCUAAUGCCGGAUAACAUAUAGAACCGCAUGGUUCUAUAGUGAAAGAUGGUUUUCGCUAUCACUUAUAGAUGGACCCGCGCCGUAUUAGCUAGUUGGUAAGGUAAUGGCUUACCAAGGCGACGAUACGUAGCCGACCUGAGAGGGUGAUCGGCCACACUGGAACUGAGACACGGUCCAGACUCCUACGGGAGGCAGCAGUAGGGAAUCUUCCGCAAUGGGCGAAAGCCUGACGGAGCAACGCCGCGUGAGUGAUGAAGGUUUUCGGAUCGUAAAACUCUGUUAUUAGGGAAGAACAAAUGCGUAAGUAACUGUGCGCAUCUUGACGGUACCUAAUCAGAAAGCCACGGCUAACUACGUGCCAGCAGCCGCGGUAAUACGUAGGUGGCAAGCGUUAUCCGGAAUUAUUGGGGCGUAAAGCGCGCGUAGGCGGUUUCUUAAGUCUGAUGUGAAAGCCCACGGCUCAACCGUGGAGGGUCAUUGGAAACUGGGAAACUUGAGUGCAGAAGAGGAAAGUGGAAUUCCAUGUGUAGCGGUGAAAUGCGCAGAGAUAUGGAGGAACACCAGUGGGCGAAGCGACUUUCUGGUCUGUAACUGACGCUGAUGUGCGAAAGCGUGGGGAUCAAACAGGAUUAGAUACCUUGGUAGUCCACGCCGUAACGAUGAGUGCUAAGUGGUAGGGGGUUUCCGCCCCUUAUUGCUGCAGCUACACGCAUUAAGCACUCUCCCUGGGGGAGUAC